ensembl:lncRNA
UUUUAUUUUUGCAUUUUUUAGUCUCCCAUCGUGGAGGACUCUUUGGCCCUCGGGGGCCUCGAGGACAAUUUGAUUUUGAUGAACAUAUUCAACUUUAUUAGACAUUAUUAGAUACAGUUCUAAACAUUUAAAUCCACAUUCGUAUUAAACCUAUCAGCAUGAACAUACAAAAAUAUUAAUCUUCAAUUUUCAAAAAAAAGGUGUUAAGUUAAAAUAGCUGCAUAUCCUGAAAACUCGCAUCAGUUAUUAGUCAAGGCCCUGUUGAAUGGUUCUGUUCACUGACUCACAGUUCGUCACCAACUCAUAAACACAAAGCUCAAUGUUCCGGACACUAAGCUGAACCACUCAACAAACAUUUCAAACCAUAUUGUGUGCAGACGAGUAUGCAUCUCUGAGCUUAAAACAUACAUCCUAUCAAAUGAUCCAGUGCUGGUCACUGACAACAUUUCAAUUUUUCCUCGUUUUUUAUAUGACACAUUUGACGCGUAGCAUUCCGUCAAACAAUAAACACGUGUAUAGUUUCUUGCUACGUUGUAACAUUAGGUUACAACGUCUUGUAACCUAAUUUGAGCGGAGGUCAUAGCGCUCCUGAUUGGCACAAGCAUCAGUUUACAGUCCGUCUCAUUAACUCUACUGUAGUCUUCUGAGUUUUAAAACAUGAUUUUCUAUCAUUAAUAACCAUGGUGGCAUUCAAUCCCUUCCUCAGAGAGCGUGCGCUGUCCUCUCCUUUCCUUCUCUUAUCCACCAGUCACACACCAGAUUACACCCACAGUUACACUGAGAACCCUCAUCAGCAAUCAGCUGUUAGUUGGCUGAACCAGGAGUGUAUUAACAACUCAUGGGUUUGUUGUAUCCGUCAAAAAAAUGGCCAAAACCAUGGCCCCAAAACCGUGAUAUGAACCGAACCGUGAAUUUUGUGAACCAUUCCACCCCUAUUUUUUUCCAUUAAGUUGAACAACAUGCAGCUUCUUCACUUGUGUCUGCUGGUGAUUGGCCAGCUCACUUGGUGGGAACACACCGCUAAUUAAUAAGAUGCGGUAUAUUGAAUAAUUAUAUGAUGAGAUACACCUGUGUUAACCUGGUGACUGACCCCUAGCCGCCAGAGGCCACAGCCAAUGGGAGGCAGGAGUGUCUGUUUAUGCACCUCUGAGGAAUAAUUCGCC